rnacentral:lncRNA from 1 species
CAAAAAUGAGAGAAAAGUAACGACGAAACUUACUCAAUAAUCAUAUAGUCAACCUUACAAGCAACAAAGAACUCCCAAUUAACGCAGAAUUGAAUACCGUAAAAGGAAAAAUAAAAUAAAAGAAAGAGAAUCGGAAAAGAACAUAAACUUUAGAAAAAAAAAACAAAGAAGAAGGUACGAUAGAAAUUCUUCAGACUAUUUUAAGUUAACCACCAUCCCACCUUCCGG